ACACGCACCAAGAAGUCACCAAAGACAGCCCAACUCGCAGCCCAUGAGGGGCCCUGAGUACUGCCUCUGACCUCUCUAUGGCAAGCCAAAUGGCCAUGGGAAGACCCCAUGGAGUGUUAGAAUGAUGCCGUUGAGGGCAAGGAUUUUAGACCGGUCAUGGAUUCUGCCUGUGCACUGGGCUCUACCACUUUCUAGCUAUCUGGCUACCAGCAAGUUACUUUAACAGUCUAAGUUUCAACCUCCCCAUUCGUGAAAUGGAGAUAAUGUCUUAGUCAUAGGGGUAGCAAGUUUACUGUAUAUCAAGAGUGUAGCACUGAGCCUGGCUCUUCGUAAGUGUUCAACUGAUUGAAGAAGGAAAUUGAGAAAGAAGUAGAUUGAGAGAUGACUACAAAUGGAGAGGCAACAUGGUCAGAGAUCUUAUUAAAAUUAGGGAAUAGGCACAGUAAAAGCAAAGAGGUUGGAGACAUGGAAGGAUAAGACACCGUGGUCAGAGCGUGCAUAUUCAGUUAAAGGUUCUGGAGAUGAAACCAUUUCAGAUGAGGACAAAAUCAGGGUGUGGCCAUAGGUGUGAGUGGCUGAAGUAGAAUGGCUGUGAGUGUCACUCUGAAGCUUGACUGUUGGACACGUCAUCCUCAUAGACACAGAAGUCAGGAUCACGGAGGCAGAGGUUGAAGUGAGCCGGGAUCGUGCCAAUGCACUCCAGCCUGGGUGACAGAGUAAGACUCCAUCUCAAAAAAACCAAAAAACAACAACAACAAAAAACUCUCUUCCCUGAAGCUUCCCUUCCUAGACCAGUGACUUCUAUUUAAUCUGAUGGAAUAUUCCUUGCCAGUCUGCCAGCUGAAUGCUGCGAUUCUCCUCUCCCCGCCAGAACUUGCUCUCACCUUUCCUGAACGAAUCACCCCCACUGGACACCCCCACAUCUUGUCAUCUCGUCACUCCCUAAUUGCUGCCACCUCCAGGCUCUGUGUUAAGCAGACAUUUCUGAAGGGACGGGCAACAGACAGAAGUUAACACCAUUCUGCUGCUCAGUAAACGACUUCAGACUG